GACGAACGCUGGCGGCGUGCCUAACACAUGCAAGUCGAGCGAGAAUCUCUUAAUUGAUCCCUUCGGGGUGAUUUUAAGAGAGGAAAGCGGCGGACGGGUGAGUAACGCGUGAGUAACCUGCCUUCAGGAGGGGGACAACAUUCCGAAAGGGAUGCUAAUACCGCAUGACAUAUAUUUGAGGCAUCUCAGAUAUAUCAAAGAUUUUAUCGCCUGAAGAUGGACUCGCGUCUGAUUAGAUAGUUGGUGGGUAACGGCCUACCAAGUCGACGAUCAGUAGCCGAACUGAGAGGUUGAUCGGCCACAUUGGGACUGAGACACGGCCCAGACUCCUACGGGAGGCAGCAGUGGGGGAUAUUGCGCAAUGGGGGCAACCCUGACGCAGCAACGCCGCGUGAAGGAAGAAGGUUUUCGGAUCGUAAACUUCUUUAAGUGGGGAAGAUAGUGACGGUACCCACAGAAUAAGCCACGGCUAACUACGUG
rnacentral:rRNA from 1 species